AGCAAACAAGUACCGUGAGGGAAAGAUGAAAAGAACUUUGAAAAUAGAGUUAACAGUACGUGAAAUUGCUGAAAGGGAAACGUUUGAAGUUAGUUUUGUAUUCGUUGGAUCAGCUUCGCAAGGAGUGUAUUCUGAUGAUAGGCAAGUCAACAUCAGUCUAUGAGUGUCGGAGAAGGGUUUUGAGAACGUAGCAAUUCAGUUGUGUUAUAGCUUGAGACUUGGAUACGAUGCUUUGGAUUGAGGAACGCGUAGUAAGCUUUGAGCGGAUUCGAAAGGAUCUCCUUACUAUGGAUGUUGGUGAAAUAACUUUAAGCGACCCGUCUUGAAACACGGACCAAGGAGUCUAACAUGCUUGCGAGUAUUAGGGUGUUGAAACCCGAAUGCGUAAUGAAAGUAAAUCUAAGAUGUGAUCCGCAAGGUGCAACAUCGGCCGGUCCGGAUCAUUUAUGUGAAGGUACUGAGCAAGAGCAAGUAUGUUAGGACCCGAAAGAUGGUGAACUAUGCCUGGAUAGGGUGAAGUCAGAGGAAACUCUGAUGGAAGCUCGUAGCGGUUCUGACGUGCAAAUCGAUCGUAGAAUCUGGGUAUAGGGGCGAAAGACUAAUCGAACCAUCUAGUAGCUGGUUCCUGCCGAAGUUUCCCUCA
rnacentral:rRNA from 1 species